AUCUGUGCUAGGUCUUAUUUUCUGCGAAUGUCUUAUUUUCGGGGAAACACGGUAGAUAAUCGGCACGACUCUAUUGUUAAAAGAAAAAAAUGAUGUACGGGGGCACUGCUAAUUGCAGGUCUUAUACAGAGAAAAGAAGCAAAUGCCCAUUCAGAUAGAGAAGUGGAAUCGUGUCUAUUUGUUUACGUGCCGUCUUUGGUUCUGUCAGAACUGAAAAGAGAAGAAUAAACAACAAUAAA